GGGUUAACCAAAUCUGGGUUAUUCUCAUGCAACACACACAUAUGGUGAAGAAAUCAAACACAAGGUAUAGAAAAGUACCACCUAUACAGAUAUUAUAUUGAAGACAGAAAAUAAACAGCAAUAUAUAUACUGAAAAGAUAAGUGAGCAGAAGCAAGUUCUGGGCUGCUUGAGUCUGAACCUGGUGAAGAAUUUUCCGGUUGAUGGAGACGAUCGAAUCCCAGAACUUAUAUCAAGAUCUUUAAUGUGAAGGAUGUAUAAGUAGCGGCACUUGCUUAUGCUUCUUCACUGCCACUUUGAUUGCCAUAUUUGAGUAUAUUGAACUUGCAAAGAGGACAGGUUGCAUUUAUAUACAACCACUUGUCUAUGCAGGCAGCAUGAAAAUGGUGACGACAUGGGAGCUCACGCAGCUCGAUUCCAUCUUCAUAGGAACAAAGGCAAAUGCAACAUUCAGCAUCUUCUGGUGGAAGAACAUGCUCAGUAGGUGUAUCGGUGUCGCAUUCAACCAUUACUCCUCCAAAUGAUUCUUGGAUAUCACCAUUCUCUUUCUCAAAGUUGCCUAGUCUCUUAAACUUGUACUUAGGCAGUCUUUCAACAUCUUCCUUCGUUGCACCUUCCUGAUCUGUCACUGCAUAUAAGAUUGCAAUAAUACAUGGGAGACAGCAGCAAACAGCAAUUCCAAUGACACAAGCCACAGCAACACAUAUAACAACAAAAAACACAUCAAACGCCAGAAAUGUGAUACAGAGCCAGUAAAGUUGAGGCGCAUCACGGGGCAUAGUCUGGCCACCAGCAGAUACCCAGUAGAACCCGAUUAUCCACCAAAUGAAAGAAAACAUGGUGUUUGCAGACUCCAGAUGCUUGGCAACACUAGUUUCAUCCUCAUUUUGAUUCCUCUCCUGCGAAUAAUCACCAGACUCCCCUCCGUCACUCUCCGAACUCAAGUUCCCAACUUCGGUAUUCCAACUAGCACUCCCGCUUCUCUGCUCAGAACUACUCAAAUUUUCAGUGGAUUCCCUUAACCGUCGGCGUCUAUACUCAACGAAAACACAAACCAUAUGAAGCACACUCUGUGAAGCAUAUCCAACAAUCCAAAGCCUUAACGGCAUAGAAGGAGACUCAUUUCGGCUCAGUACAAGCACAGAAAUCGAUACAAUAACAAAAGCUAAGUUCCAUAAAAGAUCUAUUAUCACUAUAGGUUUUGAGUAAGCCCAAUCACUUUGCCGCUCCUCGAUUUGCUCAGCAGCGGCUUCUCUUACUCGCAUCGACGGCUCACGCAUCAAUCGUCGGCUACUUGCACGCCGUAGAAAUCCGGCAGCUCCUCUGAGGCUCGGAGGGCGACGGAACGAACGUCGGCUCCUGGAAUUCUGGCUAGUGAGAAACGGCGUCGUAUCAAUUCCGACACCGUUGCUUGGGCUAACAUCGGCGUUAGGUAUGUUAUCAUUGGCGGCUGUUUCCGUAGACAUCGCCGGAAAAUUUGUGUGAAGAUAACGACGGGAAAU
rnacentral:misc_RNA from 1 species